rnacentral:snRNA from 1 species
CCGCUCAGGUCCCUCCUCAGAACCACAAAUUAAUCUUUUGCCUUUUACUAAAGAUUACCGUGGGGAGGGACACUCCAAUGAGCCAAUAGGCCAAUUUUUGAAGGGCCCUACCCGUUUGGGUGGGG